GAUGAACGCUGGCGGCGUGCCUAAUACAUGCAAGUCGAGCGAACGGACGAGAAGCUUGCUUCUCUGAUGUUAGCGGCGGACGGGUGAGUAACACGUGGAUAACCUACCUAUAAGACUGGGAUAAUUUCGGGAAACCGGAGCUAAUACCGCAUAAUAUUUCGAACCGCAUGGUUCAAAAGAGAAAGACGCUUUUGCUGUCACUUAUAGAUGGAUCCGCGCUGCAUUAGCUAGUUGGUAAGGUAACGGCUUACCAAGGCAACGAUGCAUAGCCGACCUGAGAGGGUGAUCGGCCACACUGGAACUGAGACACGGUCCAGACUCCUACGGGAGGCAGCAGUAGGGAAUCUUCCGCAAUGGGCGCAAGCCUGACGGAGCAACGCCGCGUGAGUGAUGAAGGUCUUCGGAUCGUAAAACUCUGUUAUUAGGGAAGAACAUAUGUGUAAGUAACUGUGCACAUCUUGACGGUACCUAAUCAGAAAGCCACGGCUAACUACGUG
rnacentral:rRNA from 1 species